rnacentral:misc_RNA from 1 species
UUUUUUUUUUGUUCAAAUUCUUUCUUUCUUUCUUUUGAAUUUUUUUUUCUGCUUUUCUUUUUUGUCCCCUUCAAAUGUUCUUUUAUUCCUUUUUCUUUUCACUCUUUUUUUCAGUAAAUUUAUCAUAUUUUCCACUCGUUUUGUUUUCAUUUCUUUUGUCUAUUAACAUGCAGGACUUUUUUAAUCUCUCAUAAUACAAGCUUAUUUAACACAAAAAUGACUGGCCAACCCCCAAAAGACAGUACAACUAUUCCAGCG